ACACAUGCAAGUCGAACGAUGAAGCUCCAGCUUGCUGGAGUGGAUUAGUGGCGAACGGGUGAGUAACACGUGAGCAACCUGCCCCGAACUCUGGGAUAAGCGCUGGAAACGGCGUCUAAUACCGGAUACGAACCAGAGCGGCAUCGCUUCUGGUGGGAAAGAAUUUCGGUUCGGGAGGGGCUCGCGGCCUAUCAGCUUGUUGGUGAGGUAAUGGCUCACCAAGGCGUCGACGGGUAGCCGGCCUGAGAGGGUGACCGGCCACACUGGGACUGAGACACGGCCCAGACUCCUACGGGAGGCAGCAGUGGGGAAUAUUGCACAAUGGGCGCAAGCCUGAUGCAGCAACGCCGCGUGAGGGACGACGGCCUUCGGGUUGUAAACCUCUUUUAGUAGGGAAGAAGCCUUCGGGUGACGGUACCUGCAGAAAAAGCGCCGGCUAACUACGUGCCAGCCGCCGCCGUAAAAC
rnacentral:rRNA from 1 species